GAACCGCAUGGUUCAAACAUAAAAGGUGGCUUCGGCUACCACUUACAGAUGGACCCGCGGCGCAUUAGCUAGUUGGUGAGGUAACGGCUCACCAAGGCAACGAUGCGUAGCCGACCUGAGAGGGUGAUCGGCCACACUGGGACUGAGACACGGCCCAGACUCCUACGGGAGGCAGCAGUAGGGAAUCUUCCGCAAUGGACGAAAGUCUGACGGAGCAACGCCGCGUGAGUGAUGAAGGUUUUCGGAUCGUAAAGCUCUGUUGUUAGGGAAGAACAAGUACCGUUCGAAUAGGGCGGUACCUUGACGGUACCUAACCAGAAAGCCACGGCUAACUACGUGCCAGCAGCCGCGGUAAUACGUAGGUGGCAAGCGUUGUCCGGAAUUAUUGGGCGUAAAGGGCUCGCAGGCGGUUUCUUAAGUCUGAUGUGAAAGCCCCCGGCUCAACCGGGGAGGGUCAUUGGAAACUGGGGAACUUGAGUGCAGAAGAGGAGAGUGGAAUUCCACGUGUAGCGGUGAAAUGCGUAGAGAUGUGGAGGAACACCAGUGGCGAAGGCGACUCUCUGGUCUGUAACUGACGCUGAGGAGCGAAAGCGUGGGGAGCGAACAGGAUUAGAUACCCUGGUAGUCCACGCCGUAAACGAUGAGUGCUAAGUGUUA
rnacentral:rRNA from 1 species